rnacentral:lncRNA from 1 species
AUCUUGCUGUAGAUCUCUGCGUUUCUGUGGCUUUCUGAAGUUUCUCAGAUGCCCUGAAGUGGUUCUGUAGGCUACUGUAUAUGAAUAUGAGAGAGAACAGGGGGCUUCCAGUAAUGCAUGGCAGGCUGCAGUAUCAGCAGAUGUCAUUGUUUGGCAACUGUUUUCACUCUAGAAUGCCAGAAGAUAUGGAAUGCUUGCUCCAUAUGAAGAAGAGGACCAUGAUCUGAAUAUUUUGAGAAGAAUUUUGUUUUGUCCUGCUGCUUUUAAUGUAAGUUUUAAUACCAAGAUCUUUUUUACUAUUAUUAAAGGGAAAAGAUCAACUGUCACUAUGGAAAAAUGAGUUAAUCCUGAAAUAGCAAAGUAGUUCAGACAGUUAAUAUACAAGCCUCAAAACUCCUAGCUAGUUGUAAUGCAGGGUUGGAGAAAAUGAAGUUUUUUCUUGGCAAAAACGUGUAAAAUAUUUUCCAAGUGACUUCAGCUCUGACUGUGAUCAUUUUCAGUUUGCUUAGUUUCCCAUUAGCUGCCCAGUAAUGUCUAUCCAAUAGAAUGUUGAGUGUUCUCAAAGUAUACCUGUUAUUGUUUCAUUUUAAAAUGUAGAGAAGAGGUGAAAAGAUGUUGCUCUUCCCACUUUAGCUAUCUCCUAGGGUAAUUGCCUUUUAAUUUUUAAAUAAUUAUCUUUUCUGUUUCUUCCUUUACUUGAGUUCCCUUCUGGUCAGUGUCUUAAAUCUUUAUUUAAUUUUUUUAUUCUCAAUUAUUUUUAAAUGACAUAACUGUAUCCAGAGGUGCAAUCACUGUGGGUAUCUGUUAGGUGGGGAAAAAACCCAACAGACUGAACUAUUGUUUUUUCAAACAAAUUUUAUUUUUAUUACUUAAAAACAAAACAAUACAAAAAGUCCAAACCCCAUACAAACUAAAUUUGAGUGUUCAAUGAAGUUACAAUUUGCUUCGUGUUCAUUGCAGGAAAAUCUGCUAUGGUUAUCUCUCAUCCAACAUAUUUGAAGCUUGACUAGCAAAACUGCUGUCUUAAUACUCUGCUAUUGCCAUGGUCUGUAGUAAAUAGUGUUGCUUAAAGGGUUGUGGAUUUGCCAGGUUCACAUAUAUAUAUAUAUAUAUAUAUAUUCUUCUUUACCUUCAUGUCUGUAUCAAGAUCCACUUGUUUUAUUUCGUAGCUGCAAAAAUUGUUGGUAUUUAGGUGUUGUUUUACUUGUUGAGAUUGCUCAAGAAUGGAACGUUUUUCUGAUUUUUUUCUUCAGAUGAAAUCAAAUCAUAAAUGUCUUCAAAUAUGUUGAGAAAAUUAAAUGUGAAAACGUUCUUAUUCUUCCAAAUUUUAUUUUGAAAGACAAUACCCUUUUCCAGCGCUGACCUCUGGUGUCUGCACAGAAGCUUGAAUUUCUACAGAUCAGAAUGAUUUAAUAGCUUUUUAAAAAAUAAUAAUGCAGCAAGGCAGAAGAGAAGUUGUACUGACUUUUCUUGCUGUCUUUGUAGACCUAGGAUUCUCAAUUUCCAUGGAUGUUUUGUUUUUCUUUAAAGUAGUUGUGUAAUUUAUUUAAAGCAUGAGCACCAGGUAUUUCUGUAUAUGUCCAAAAGAGACUAGCUACUGAUCUGAGUGAAUGAAAAUUCAUUCCCUUUGACUAUCAGAACCACCUUUACUGUUACGGUUGUAGAAGACAGUAAUUAAAAUAUAUUUAAUAUAAGCCACCCUCAUUUUGAAGCUGCCUCAGUUUGCAGCCCUGAGGGAAGCCAAGUAAUUAAGUUUGGAGGCAGUACUGAAGCAAAGACAAAUAAUGAUUUGGACAGGACUAGCAUAAAGGAAGGCUUCCAUUAGAUUCUAGAAUGCUGUUUUUGACCCUUAGUGGAUAUACUGUUCCAAGUGCUUUUAAUUUCAUUAAAUUUUAAUAUUGGAUAUUUUAAAUAGAAACAAUAUUAAACUGUGGUUAUUCUCCAGAAUGUCCAUUCUGUGCUACAAAAGUAAUGCCUUCCAACUCAAGAGCCUGAUUGGAAUUGGCAAUCAAAGUCUCUCCAAUAGCAACCUCCACCACCAUGCAUACACACCAAAACUUCUUGAAAGAGCAACAAUAAAGUCACUUUCGAUGGAAUUACAAACAGCAAUUGGCAUGAUCUGUGGAUGGAGUAGGUUGCUAGACAGAAGGAAUGUGAGCUGAGAAAGGUGAAGCUGACCUUGGAAAUUAAUGCUUCUGUGGACUAGGUAAAAUGAGCAGUUAUGUGAUUAAGUCCACAGGAAAUGGUAUUUAAGUACCCAUCUUUGAAGCUAAAAUUUGGGAUCUUGAUACUUGCAGGGACGGUAAGUACAUGAAGUGUCUGAAAAAUUCCUUUUUCCAAGAACUUGUGGCUAUGUUUGUCUCUUCACAAACCACUGAGAGUUUGAAUGAAGGAUUCCAGAAUGACUGUCUCUUUUCUGUUGAGUUCUGCAACUUAGGUCCAUUGUUUCCUAUAUGAUGCAAUAUCUGCUAGCUGUGUGUGUGUACAUAUAAUAUGUAUUUGUAGGCAUACAUUUAUUUCACUGACUGACAUAAAUUAAACUGAAGCUGCACUAGGAAUUUUAUGUUCUGUGAUAACACCAGCGGAGGUGUGUGAUUAUAUUUUUUUCCAAGACCAACAGUGUUGGUUACACUAAACAUCAGGAUGCCUGCAUUGUAGCAAUAUUUUCACCACUAUUUUGUUCAAGCUUCAAUUUGCAAUAUUCUGUUAGAAGAUGAGUUCUUUCAUACCACUGAAGUAAAACCAGUUAACGCGUUUGAUGUGAAGAGUCUAAGAGGAUCCUUAUCUUGUUGAAGAAAAACUUGUGCCAGGUCUUUUUUGCCAAAAAGAACAGAAAUAAACCCUGUGUUCCUGGGCAACAAGUCUUCUCAAUGAAAGAAUUUCUAUUGCUUAUGAAUUUAUGUGAGCUUUUGCUGAAAACAUUGUCUGCUGCAUUUUCCUGUACUCACUGUGCUGUCAGUAAGCUGCUGUGUUAUAAAGUGCUUUGGGACAUUCUGUCCAUAAAGAGGUACAAUACAGAACUAAAUUCUGUUUUAUUUGAUUCCCUGAAAUGGUGCAAUUCAUUUUUAGUAAAUACUGUUGCCAAAG